rnacentral:rRNA from 1 species
GACGUAGGGGGCAAGCGUUGUCCGGAUUUAUUGGGCGUAAAGAGCGUGUAGGCGGCUAGGUAGGUCCGUUGUGAAAACUCGAGGCUCAACCUCGAGACGCCGAUGGAAACCAUCUAGCUAGAGUCCGGAAGAGGAGAGUGGAAUUCCUGGUGUAGCGGUGAAAUGCGCAGAUAUCAGGAAGAACACCCGUGGCUAAGGCGGCUCUCUAGUACGGUACUGACGCUGAGACGCGAAAGCGUGGGGAGCGAACAGG